AUACAGACGAGGAACGGGAGAGUACCUUGGCGCAAACCGCUUGCAGCGAGCCGGGAUGGUGGAAGCCGGCAGCGGACGGCAGGGGAAGCGGUCCCGGGAGUCGCAUGCCCGAACGAUGCCAGUAGGGUAUGCCGGCGCAAGCCGUUAACAUUGUUCAAGAUGGUAUUUCCGCCAGCGGCGGAAAUACCAAGAAGAGUGGCACCGCGUAAAGCGACAAGCUUUCCGUCUCUUUG
rnacentral:ncRNA from 1 species